rnacentral:tRNA from 2 species
AGGUAGGGUGGCCGAGCAGGUGCCGGGCUGUAAACCCGCUUACGGGGGCUAGGCCCCCCCCCACCA